GACGAACGCUGGCGGCGUGCCUAAUACAUGCAAGUUGAGCGCUGAAGGUUGGUACUUGUACCAACUGGAUGAGCAGCGAACGGGUGAGUAACGCGUGGGGAAUCUGCCUUUGAGCGGGGGACAACAUUUGGAAACGAAUGCUAAUACCGCAUAAAAACUUUAAACACAAGUUUUAAGUUUGAAAGAUGCAAUUGCAUCACUCAAAGAUGAUCCCGCGUUGUAUUAGCUAGUUGGUGAGGUAAAGGCUCACCAAGGCGAUGAUACAUAGCCGACCUGAGAGGGUGAUCGGCCACAUUGGGACUGAGACACGGCCCAAACUCCUACGGGAGGCAGCAAUAGGGAAUCUUCGGCAAUGGACGAAAGGCUGACCGAGCAACGCCGCGUGAGUGAAGAAGGGUUUCGGAUCGUAAAACUCUGUUGGUAGAGAAGAACGUUGGUGAGAGUGGAAAGCUCAUCAAGUGACGGUAACUACCCAGAAAGGGACGGCUAACUACGUG
rnacentral:rRNA from 1 species